rnacentral:rRNA from 1 species
AUACGUAGGUGACAAGCGUUAUCCGGAUUUACUGGGCGUAAAGGGCGUGUAGGCGGUCUUGCAAGUCAGAAGUGAAAUUUCUGAGCUCAACUCGGGCGCUGCUUCUGAAACUGCUGGACUUGAGUGCUAGAGGGGAUAGCGGAAUUCCUAGUGGAGCGGUAAAAUGCGCAGAUAUUAGGAAGAACACCGGUGGCGAAGGCGGCAAUCUGGACAGUAACGGACGCUGAGGCGCGAAAGCGUGGGGAGAAACCAGGAUUAGAUACCCUGGUAGCCCACGCCGUAAACGAUGAAUACUAGGUGUAGGGGGUAUCGACUCCCUCUGUGCCGCAGUUAACACAAUAAGUAUUCCGCCUGGGGAGUACGGCCGCAAGGUUGAAACUCAAAGGAAUUGGCGGGG